GUAAGGAUGUCUCAGCGGUUAAGAGUCUUGGCUGCUCUUCCAUAGGACCUGGGUUCAAAUCCCAGUACCUACA
rnacentral:tRNA from 1 species